CGACCUGCACGAAUGGCGUAACGACUUCCCCGCUGUCUCCAACGUUGACUCAGCGAAAUUGAAUUCUCCGUGAAGAUGCGGAGUUCCCGCGGUCAGACGGAAAGACCCCGUGCACCUUUACUACAACUUUGCAGUGGUAUUAGAAAAUGAAUGUGUAGGAUAGGCGGGAGGCUUUGAAGCACUGGCGCCAGCCAGGGUGGAGCCACCCUUGAAAUACCGCCCUUUUGUUUUUUGAUAUCUAACCGCGAUCCGUUAUCCGGAUCCGGGACCCUGCAUGGUGGGUAGUUUGACUGGGGCG
rnacentral:rRNA from 1 species